rnacentral:rRNA from 1 species
UGCAUCGGAACGUGCCCAGUCGUGGGGGAUAACUACUCGAAAGAGUAGCUAAUACCGCAUACGAUCUAUGGAUGAAAGCGGGGGACCGUAAGGCCUCGCGCGAUUGGAGCGGCCGAUGUCAGAUUAGCUAGUUGGUGAGGUAAUGGCUCACCAAGGCUAUGACGCAUAACUGGUUUGAGAGGAUGAUCAGUCACACUGGAACUGAGACACGGUCCAGACUCCUACGGGAGGCAGCAGUGGGGAAUAUUGCACAAUGGACGAAAGUCUGAUGCAGCAACGCCGCGUGGAGGAUGACACAUUUCGGUGCGUAAACUCCUUUUAUAUAGGAAGAUAAUGACGGUACUAUAUGAAUAAGCACCGGCUAACUCCGUGCCAGCAGCCGCGGUAAUACGGAGGGUGCAAGCGUUACUCGGAAUCACUGGGCGUAAAGAGCGUGUAGGCGGGUAAAUAAGUCAGAAGUGAAAUCCAAUAGCUCAACUAUUGAACUGCUUUUGAAACUGUAUACCUAGAAUGUGGGAGAGGCAGAUGGAAUUUCUGGUGUAGGGGUAAAAUCCGUAGAGAUCAGAAGGAAUACCGAUUGCGAAGGCGAUCUGCUGGAACAUUAUUGACGCUGAGACGCGAAAGCGUGGGGAGCAAACAGGAUUAGAUACCCUGGUAGUCCACGCCCUAAACGAUGUACACUAGUUGUUGUGAGGCUCGACCUUGCAGUAAUGCAGUUAACACAUUAAGUGUACCGCCUGGGGAGUACGGUCGCAAGAUUAAAACUCAAAGGAAUAGACGGGGACCCGCACAAGCGGUGGAGGUGAGUGGAGAGAGGUUGUGGAAAAGGGAGCCCAGAUUGUUGUCUGAGCCCCCUCACUUACGCACUAGUCAGAGACUAGAUUAGCCCUGUGCGGCAGCAGUGAAGUUGUAGAUCACGCCAAACGCAGCGGGGUUCUUGAUGGUGCAGGUCAGUUCCGUAGUCAGCGUACCGCCUUCUGCAUCCACGCCAUUGUCAACCAGAGCACCAGCAGCAUUGUAGUUGGCAUCGCUGGUUUUACGCAGGUAAGCCAUGCUGAAAGCGUUCAGGUCCAUAAUCACUGCCAUCUUGGCCCAGGCGCUAGAAGCGCCAUAAGCGUUGAACAGCGGAUGCUCGAUGAUUUCAAAGGUACCGCGCGGAGCACGGAUCUUAUCAAUCUGCAGACCCCAGCUGGAUUCCAUCGUGGUGAUGGUGU